rnacentral:rRNA from 1 species
CUCGACUACAUGAAGCUGGAAUCGCUAGUAAUCGCGGAUCAGAAUGCCGCGGUGAAUACGUUCCCGGGUCUUGUACACACCGCCCGUCACACCAUGGGAGUCGGAAAUGCCCGAAGUCGGUGACUUAACCGAAAGGAGAGAGCCGCCGAAGGCAGGUCUGAUAACUGGGGUGAAGUCGUAACAAGGUAUC